ACGAAGCUGCAGUGGUGGGAGUAGGAAGAUGUCGGGCGAGGACGAGCAGCAGGAGCAAACUAUCGCCGAAGACCUGGUCGUGACCAAGUAUAAGAUGGGGGGCGACAUCGCCAACCGGGUCCUUCGAGCUUUGGUGGAAGCAUCCAGCUCAGGUGUGUCAGUAUUGAGCCUGUGUGAGAAAGGUGAUGCCAUGAUUGUGGAAGAGACAGGAAAAAUCUUCAAGGAAGGAAAGGAAAUGAAGAAAGGUAUUGCCUUUCCAACCAGCAUCUCAGUAAAUAACUGUGUGUGCCACUUCUCCCCUUUGAAGAGUGACCAGGAUUAUAUUCUCAAGGAAGGUGACUUGGUAAAAAUUGACCUUGGGGUUCAUGUGGAUGGCUUCAUUGCUAAUGUGGCUCACACUUUUGUCAUUGGUGUGCCCCAGGGGACUCAAGUAACAGGGAGGAAAGCAGAUGUCAUUAAGGCAGCUCACCUAUGUGCUGAAGCUGCCCUACGCUUAGUCAAACCUGGAAACAAGAACACACAAGUGACAGAAGCCUGGAACAAAGUUGCCCACUCAUUUAAUUGCACACCAAUAGAAGGUAUGCUGUCACAUCAGUUGAAGCAGCACGUCAUCGACGGAGAGAAAACCAUCAUCCAGAAUCCCACAGACCAGCAGAAGAAGGACCAUGAAAAGGCUGAAUUUGAGGUACAUGAA